GCUGCUCCUAGAGGUCUUGCAGGUGUGGCUGGUGUGUCCCAUAUGUAGCAGUAGGUGGUAGAGAGAAGAGAGGCUAUGUCUAUACUCAGAGCUCUGAUCAAUAAAUAUCUGAAUGAUUAGUGGUAUAACAUU